rnacentral:rRNA from 1 species
CAUGUGGCUUAAUUUGACUCAACGCGGGAAAUCUUACCGGGUCCGGACACACUGAGGAUUGACAGGCACUAUACGGCACCACACUCACUCUGUGCGCGUGGUACCGUAGCUAAAUAUGCUAGUCCUUUCAUGAUUAUGUGAUAGGUGGUGCAUGGCCGUUCUUAGUUCGUGGAGUGAUCUGUCUGCUUAAUUGCGUUUCGCUAAAGGAUCUUACAGGGCACAGCUUCUGGUGUGCUAUAGCUAUGCUACGCCUCACCGGUCUUACAGCUCAGCGGUCAGUGCGUCUUAGGCUAAGCCUCGGAUGCUUCUUAAGCUCAGCUAGACCAUACGUGGAGCUAUAUGGCUCACUCGCUAGGGGCACUAUAUGUGAACUUCUGAUCCUGAAAGCAACGAACGUGACCGCAACCUCUUGUUGUGUUAGCUCUAUAGCACAGCACAAACUAGAGGGACCGCUGUUACUUUUCUUAAACCAGAGGAAGGUUGCGGCAAUAACAGGUCUGUGAUGCCC